rnacentral:rRNA from 1 species
AGUGAACGCUGGCGGUAGGCCUAACACAUGCAAGUCGAACGGCAGCACAGUAAGAGCUUGCUCUUACGGGUGGCGAGUGGCGGACGGGUGAGGAAUACAUCGGAAUCUACUUUUUCGUGGGGGAUAACGUAGGGAAACUUAUGCUAAUACCGCAUACGACCUACGGGUGAAAGCAGGGGAUCUUCGGACCUUGCGCGAUUGAAUGAGCCGAUGUCGGAUUAGCUAGUUGGCGGGGUAAAGGCCCACCAAGGCGACGAUCCGUAGCUGGUCUGAGAGGAUGAUCAGCCACACUAGAACUGAGACACGGUCCAGCCUCCUACGGGAGGCAGCAGUGGGGAAUAUUGGACAAUGGGCGCAAGCCUGAUCCAGCCAUACCGCGUGGGUGAAGAAGGCCUUCGGGUUGUAAAGCCCUUUUGUUGGGAAAGAAAAGCAGCAGGUUAAUACCCCGCUGUUCUGACGGUACCCAAAGAAUAAGCACCGGCUAACUUCGUG